rnacentral:rRNA from 1 species
CGCCUGGGGAGUACGGCCGCAAGGUUAAAACUCAAAUGAAUUGACGGGGGCCCGCACAAGCGGUGGAGCAUGUGGUUUAAUUCGAUGCAACGCGAAGAACCUUACCUACACUUGACAUGCAGAGAACUUUCUAGAGAUAGAUUGGUGCCUUCGGGAACUCUGACACAGGUGCUGCAUGGCUGUCGUCAGCUCGUGUCGUGAGAUGUUGGGUUAAGUCCCGCAACGAGCGCAACCCUUGUCCUUAGUUGCCAGCAUUAAGUUGGGCACUCUAAGGAGACUGCCGGUGACAAACCGGAGGACGGUGGGGACGACGUCAAGUCAUCAUGGCCCUUACGUGUAGGGCUACACACGUGCUACAAUGGCAUUUACAGAGGGAAGCGAGACAGUGAUGUGGAGCGGACCCCUUAAAGAAUGUCGUAGUCCGGAUUGGAGUCUGCAACUCGACUCCAUGAAGUCGGAAUCGCUAGUAAUCGUGAAUCAGAAUGUCACGGUGAAUACGUUCCCGGGCCUUGUACACACCGCCCGUCACACCAUGGGAGUGGAUUGCACCAGAAGUGGUUAGUCUAACCUUCGGGAGGACGAUCACCACGGUGUGGUUCAUGGCUGGGGUGAAGUCGUAACAAGGUAACCGUA